UUCCGGGAGAUACAGCAAAUUGAGAGGGAAAACAGUAGAAAAGCAGAUCUACAGGAUGUGAGGGGGAAAUAAGACAAAGAGCAAAGGACAGAGAGAGACACUGUCUUUGUUGAAUUUAAGUGCAUGGUGGUGAGACAUUUUUAUUAUUAUUUUGAGAGUAUGUUAAAGGAACAGUCAUUCUUUUAAAACCUCUGUCUUACAAGUGUAGCAGGAUGGGCCUUUAAUUAGUGCUGCAGUACCGGCCUAUCACGGUUGGUUGCGCUGCCUAUAAAGGCGAGUGGUUGUGCACUGGGAGCCCUCUUGCCUUGGAGCUACAGACUGCCCCGCCUCCUGUGAUCACCGCACCUGGCCGCCUCACCUGAUCGCCUUUUCAGCUGGGUCGUGCAGCUCGCCGUUGUUUGGCAGUUCAUUGGCCGGGUCUUCCUUCUCCCGUAUCGGCCCCAAUUGUAGGGCAUGCGAGUGUUUUCCUCCUCUGCCGGUUGCAGCGGGGAGCGAUCAGCUGAUCGAUCGCGUUGCACGUAAUUGUGCUGCUCGACGCAAGUGAUCCCUUUCCUCCCCUUUGAUGUUCAUUCAACUCCUGACGGGUUGACGUGUGUGUGGGCGGUUUCUGCCAGCACGUUUCCCCCCCUCUUCACGCUGCUGUUUGCCGGCUGCUGUUUUGCCCACUGGCUUAUAUAGCCAACACAUCCAUCCUACUCUGCAUCUCCUACUGUGCUGUACCUGCCACCGAGUAUGGUGACUGCUGCCUCAUCCUCAGUCUCAUUUUAAUCUAUUCAGUUAACCGACUUCUAACUGAUCUUAUUGAUGAUAUUAUUUGUGUUUUGUGGUUUGCUUUGCAUGUUUUUGGUUUAAUUCGUUUUCAGUGUCAUCUUUAUCUAUUCAGUUAACCGACUUUUAACUGAUCUCAUUGAUGAUAUUAUUUGUGGUUUACUUUGCAUGUUUUUGGGUU